AACGAACGCUGGCGGCAUGCCUAACACAUGCAAGUCGAACGAGACCUUCGGGUCUAGUGGCGCACGGGUGUGUAACGCGUGGGAAUCUGCCCUUGGGUUCGGAAUAACUCGCCGAAAGGCGUGCUAAUACCGGAUGAUGACGUAAGUCCAAAGAUUUAUCGCCCAAGGAUGAGCCCGCGUUGGAUUAGCUAGUUGGUGAGGUAAAGGCUCACCAAGGCGACGAUCCAUAGCUGGUCUGAGAGGAUGAUCAGCCACACUGGGACUGAGACACGGCCCAGACUCCUACGGGAGGCAGCAGUGGGGAAUAUUGGACAAUGGGCGAAAGCCUGAUCCAGCAAUGCCGCGUGAGUGAUGAAGGCCUUAGGGUUGUAAAGCUCUUUUACCCGGGAUGAUAAUGACCGUACCGGGAGAAUAAGCUCCGGCUAACUCCGUG
rnacentral:rRNA from 1 species